GUGGUGCAUGGUUGUCGUCAGCUCGUGUCGUGAGAUGUUGGGUUAAGUCCCGCAACGAGCGCAACCCUCGACCUUAGUUGCCAGCAUUCAGUUGGGCACUCUAAGGUGACUGCCGGCUAAAAGUCGGAGGAAGGUGGGAUGACGUCAAAUCAUCAUGCCCCUUAUGACCUGGGCUACACACGUGCUACAAUGGGCGGUACAAAGGGUCGCGAACCCGCGAGGGGGAGCCAAUCCCAAAAAACCGAUCGUAGUCCGGAUCGCAGUCUGCAACUCGACUGCGUGAAGUCGGAAUCGCUAGUAAUCGUGAAUCAGAAUGUCACGGUGAAUACGUUCCCGGGCCUU
rnacentral:rRNA from 1 species